rnacentral:rRNA from 1 species
AUUGAACGCUGGCGGCAGGCCUAACACAUGCAAGUCGAGCGGAGCGGCGGACGGGUGAGUAAUGCCUAGGACUCUGCAUGUGAGUGGUGGAUAACGUUCGGAAACGGGCGCUAAUACCACAUCCUAUCAGCUGAGCCUAGGUCGGAUUGGCUAGUUGGUGGGGUAAAGGCCUACCAAGGCGACGAUCUGUAGCGGGGCUGGGAGGAUGAUCCGCCAAAAUGGGACUGGGGAACGGCCCAGGAUCCUACGGGAGGCAGCAGGGGGGAAAAUUGGACAAUUGGGGGAAACCUGAUUCAGCCAUGCCGGGGGUGUGAAGAAGGGCUUAUGGUUGUAAAGCAACUUAAGGGAGGAGGCGUUACUCGCAGAAUAAGCACCGGCUAACUCUGUGCCAGCAGCCGCGGUAAUUC